UUCAGGCGCCCCCAGAUGUGUUCUACAACGAAUCGGAUGCCUGCAAGUACACCACCUCCUCCCGUAUCAUCGGAAUCCAGGAUUUCGAAGAGGAAGCUGCAGCUGCUCGCCCUCCCCAACAAUGCGUCCCCAAGCUUCUUCUUGACAUAGGUCACCUUCUUCUCUUCAGUCUCAUGAUAUCUGGCUUGGGACAGAACAUUGGAUAGUCUGCUGCUUUGACUGAUUUUUUUUUUUUGACAGAAUCCAUAAUUCGCGAUCGCAUUUGAUGGAACACUCAACACUAUAAUGCUUUUGCAAAUGAAAGGCAUAACAUAUAUAUACAUGCUGUACUAAUUGCUUAACAUCUUGCCUAUGACUUUCAGCUGCCACUUCGUCAGCAAUUGAUGUGCUGCUAAUUCUUUCCUUUUUGCAAUUGUGCUAUUUAGGCUAUACUCCAGCUAAAAAUGACUUCCUUUUUGAGACGGUAUGCAUCUUUUGUCUUUACAAUCAAAAUGUUUCUUUUUUCACAAUUAGGAGAGGAAAAUCAGUAAUGAAGUUUGAAGUUAGAUGCGUUCUGCAUCUUCCUAAGUUAUUUCAUACUAUGCGUAAUAGUUGGACUAUAUGGAACCAAUUCUAACUACUUGAUUCUUUUUCUUUCUUUCAACCUGUACGUAGAGACUGCAAAGUUUUAUUUACGGUAUGUAAUAUCUCACCAUCUCUCAAUUUCAUUGCACAUCAUGUAAAUUAAAGUGUCCGAAUUUCAGUACUAAAAAUAGAGACAUAAUAUUGAUUACAGAUGUUCUGAUGCAACAUUCAAGAGGGAAAUGUGCACUUGUUUUCUGUACUACAAGAAAAGGUGCACAAGAAGCAGCAGUGCUUUUCACAAACUGGAGCAUUGCUUAGCUAUUCCAAUCCAUUUAUGCACUCAAUCCAGCAGUAGGAACAUCUAAUGGAGGCGUCUCUAACCUGUAGUGAUAAGCAACUGCAGACUUGCAUUGUACAUGGAGGUUAUCUGGAAUCUUUUUCCCUGGGGACCCAUAAUACCUUCCUUAACUUUGCAACCUCUAUUUUUGCUCAUCGUGAUGUGCAUGCAGUACGUGUUGACCUAUUUCUUGACAUUAAUGUUUGCUUCAUAUUUGAAAUUACAACAGUUUUAGCUUAAAUUUCUGAUCGAAUGUUCACAAAUUGUUGAAUGUAGGUCACUAGACAAGAUGAUAGCAAGCUUUGAGACAGAGCUCUCACCUAAUUUUUUUUUCGCAUUUCAUUUUUUUGCUGCUGUUUGCUAAUACUUUGAAAUAGGGAGAUGCACAUUCGUGUCGACAAGAGGAGGACCCAUAAUACCUUCCUUAACAUUCGUGUCGACAAGAGGAGGAAUAGAGAUACUGAAGGUGGAGGAUGAGAUCGCUUGCCUUUAGUGAAAAGGAUCUCUGUAAAUAUUUCAAUCCUGGAGACCAUGUUAAAGUCGUAUCCAGAGUUCAAGAAGGCACAACAGGCAUGGAUGUUAGAUUGGAAGGGUAUGUUUUGAUCAUUUUAUCAGACACUACCAAAGAACAUAUCCGCAUGUUUGCAGAUUAUGUUGUGGAGAGUUCUGAGGUCACCAUAGGGAUUAUAAGAAUAGGUGGAGAGGCUGAGGGCAACUGGCUUUGGCUCUAUCUGCCAGAUGUUUUGGUGAGCAUCUCCGGGGUAGGGGAUGGGGAUGGGGUCAGAAGACGGUGUGGUGAAGGAUGAUUGCAACUGCAAAUGAGCUAGAGGUGGUCAGCCCGAAGAAAAACGAGAAGUUCAAGAUAAUGAACGGGUCCAUGCGUGGAGUCACGGGGAAACUGAUUAGAGUUUAUGGGCCUGUUGGCAUCCCGAGGGUGGAAGGUAGCUUAGACGUGAAAAUAGUUGACAUGGUGAUUUUGGGCGAAGUGGCUGCUUGAGGCGCUGUACAGUUGAUAUUCUUAGUUUAAUACCUAAUCUAAAUUAUCGUACUUUAGGGGAGUACUCAUGGAUACCAAAAAUGUACCUUUUUUUCGGAAAAAGAUGACAAGAGCUUUGCCACACAUAGUA